rnacentral:lncRNA from 8 species
ACAAAAAUAUAGACUCUUCACUUUCAUUUCACACCAAAUUUGAUAUACUCAUAUAUAAACUUGGUGCUCUUUGGUACCUUUUUACAUGAAAAUGACCUUAUUCAGCAGUGGCUGCAUGGUUAAAGGAUAAGAGCUAGACCCACCCACACCGUGCAACUGACGCAAGUUUAAAUAUUACCAGAGGGUCGUUUCCAACAUGAAUCGCAUGAAUAGACACACAGGCUAGGGUUGUAGUGUACUGGAAAGGGGGUAGGAAAUUACUCUGAAUGAUGAUAUAGUUCAAGAAGAUAUGCUGACAAAAUAAGGCACUAGGGAAACCAGCAUUCUUAUAAUGAAAGUGGGGUUUCUCAGACAGAAUCUGUGACACUGAGAUAAAUCCCUUAACCACCGUGCUCUCCGGUCUCUAACGCCAGAUGUGAACAGUGCCUCCUCUUUCGUGCUACAGCAGCCUUACUUUCGGAUUGGUCAAUAACCAAGCGCUUGGUUCUUCAGAGCACUGAGAGUUACUGCCGAGAGACCUAGCAACUCUCACCAUCAAAGACCGCAAACAGCCUAUUUCAAGAGGCGUGGAGCUGAGUGAGUGGAAUGGCCGGGACUGUCGUUGUUUUGAGUCAAACUCACUUUGCUGGGCCCCACAGCCUGGUACUGUGUGGGUG